rnacentral:rRNA from 1 species
UCCGUAGGUGAACCUGCGGAAGGANUCAUUAAUGAGUUAGGGUCUUCUAGGCCCGACCUCCCAACCCUUUGUUUACUUGACCUCAGUUGCUUCGGCAGGCCCGUCUUAAGCUGACCGCUGGAGGACCGCUCAAUGCGGGCGGUUGCCUCUGGCCAGUGUCUGCCGAUAGCCUAAUCUCCUAACUCUGGAUCAAUCAUGAUUUACAAUGUCUAAGUGAUUUUAUUCAAUUAAAAGCAAAAACUUUCAACAACGGAUCUCUUGGUUCUGGCAUCGAUGAAGAACGCAGCGAAAUGCGAUAAGUAAUGCGAAUUGCAGAAUUCCAGUGAGUCAUCGAAUCUUUGAACGCACAUUGCGCCCUUUGGUAUUCCGAAGGCAUGCCUGUUCGAGCGUCAUUAUCACCCCCUCAAGCCCCUGUGCUUGGUGUUGGACGGCUUGGUGGAGUAAGUUCACACUUUCCACCCCUCCUAAAGACAAUGACGGCGGCCUGCGGAACCCCCGGUACACUGAGCUUCUUAACUGAGCACGUAUCGGAUGAAGGGCGCCCGGGACCCGGUCUUUCUCCUCACGGGAACACUUUUUUUCUAAGGUUGACCUCGGAUCAGGUAGGAAUACGCGCUGAACUUAAGCAUAUCAAUAAGCGGAGGA